rnacentral:rRNA from 1 species
GACGAACGCUGGCGGCGUGCCUAAUACAUGCAAGUCGAACGCACUCUCGUUUAGAUUGAAGGAGCCUGCUCCUGAUUGAUAAACAUUUGAGUGAGUGGCGGACGGGUGAGUAACACGUGGGUAACCUGCCCUAAAGUGGGGGAUAACAUUUGGAAACAGAUGCUAAUACCGCAUAAAACCUAACACCGCAUGGUGUAGGGUUGAAAGAUGGUUUCGGCUAUCACUUUAGGAUGGACCCGCGGUGCAUUAGUUAGUUGGUGAGGUAAAGGCUCACCAAGACCGUGAUGCAUAGCCGACCUGAGAGGGUAAUCGGCCACACUGGGACUGAGACACGGCCCAGACUCCUACGGGAGGCAGCAGUAGGGAAUCUUCCACAAUGGACGAAAGUCUGAUGGAGCAACGCCGCGUGAGUGAAGAAGGUUUUCGGAUCGUAAAACUCUGUUGUUGGAGAAGAAUGUAUCUGAUAGUAACUGAUCAGGUAGUGACGGUAUCC